AAAUUAAUUACAGUCCCUUGUCUCGUCGCAUUCUACGCGAGGUUAAUGAUCAUAUGUGGUCUUCCAACUCUGGUGCCCUAGUUCCUGAGGUAUGUACAGUAACUCCACAAUGUGCACUCGUGGAAAAUUUGCCGAUUAAUUUGUAUUACAGAUUAAUUAAGUAUAGGUAAUAGUAUGGUUUCGAGUGCAAUUUGGAAAAACAUGCACGAGUGAGUUUUUCAAAGACUAUCAAAAUUGUCUUUGAAAAAGAAGUCUUUGAAAAAGUCACGAGUGUAUCUUUUUCAAAUUGCACGAGAAACCAUACUAUAACUUAUUAGUAACAUACAUGAAAAAAUUAUGCAGUCACGUGCGUAAGACACGUUUAGAAAUUAAGAAAUUUGGAAAAUUAAGAAAUUUGAAAAAUAAAAAAUUACGAAAAUUUUAAAAGAUAAGAAACUUGCACUGUAUUUCUUUUUUUGCACUGUAUUUCGUUUGUUGCACUGUAUUUCAGAAUUCAGAAAUGUUUUCAUGUAUACAGCUAUUUGGCAACCUUAAUUGAAAUAGCUGUAUAUGAUUUAGCCUCUUGCGCAGAUGUUGUUAGUGGCCGAGGCCCCACCUAACGUCUGCUCACAUUCGCUAAACAUUUGACUUUCCGGCAAUUAACCAAUCGCAAUCAUGUACACGAUAAUUGGAACAUCGACCUUCACUGACCUUCACAUGCAUGGGCUAUUUAUAUCAACAAGUCUGUAGUAUUUUUAAAUUUGAAAGUUUUAAUACUGCGCAUCAGGCUUUUCAUUCUAUUAUAAACGAAAAGGAUGUUUUCGUAAAUCUCACAACUGGCGCAGAAAAUCACUUAUUUAUCAAGCAGUUACCUAAGCUAUUCGAUGUAAUAUUUGGAUUUAAAUAUUUAAACAAAUUGUAAACAUGUAGACAUUUAGUAAUCGUGGUUUCGCCAUUGAUAAAUUCAAUGCGAAGUCAAGUGAAGGUCAGUGAAGGUCGAUGUUCCAAUUAUCGUGUACAUGAUUGUGAUUGGUUAAUUGCCGGGAAGUCAAAUGUGUAGCGAAUGUGAGCAGACGUUAGGUGGGGCUUCGGCCACUAACAACGUCUGCACAGGAGGCUAUAUAUGAUUAAGACCCGUACAGCAUUACAGCAUAAUACAGUCCGUGCACAGGCUAUACGUACAGACGAGCGAGUUUUCCUUGACAGGCUUUACUUACAAUUUUUACCUUGACAACAAACCUUGUUCAAGAGCCUGGGAACGAGGUUGGAAAAUUGUUUGUGCGCAGCCUGUAGGAACGGCAAGGAAAACUUAACAAGUAAUUGCGUGGUACGUCACUGCGCAAUGAUCUUCGAGCAGACAUGCAUUCCCGUUUAAUUUCGUUUAUUUUGAAAUUUGCUUUUGCAGUAUAGUGAGGAAGAAGCAAUCAACGAAAAUUAUUAUGAAAUUGUUUAAGUACUUAAAUAUCAAACUUGUCAAGAUUCCUGUGAUUCCUGCCAUAGAUGGCCUACAGUUGCAUUUUUGCAACUGCUCCUCGUUAGUUCUGAAAAUUGUAUGUGAUCUUUCCCACAAAUUUUCCAUCUAGAAUUCAAUUCCCUUCAACACAUAUAGGAUUAAAGUUGUAUUUCCUGCAGAGAGAAUGAUAAAGAAUUAACGAUAAUUGUUAUCCUUUUAAUAGGUCUACCAGAUGAAAGAGCUGGAGAUCUCGAGCAGCAGUAAAGAAGUUAGUUCAACAUUCUUUUUUAAUUCACUAUAGUAGGCAACUCACAGACACGAUAUCAUUACUCUCUGGGGCACUGUGCCCUGGCGAGUAUAGGUUUCGGCUCUGAUUUUUCUCCGAUUGAUAGCCACAAAAUAGAAUACUAAUGAGUAUUCUAUUUCGGCAGUAAUUAAAAC
rnacentral:lncRNA from 1 species